CGGCGGACGGGUGAGUAACGCGUGGGUAACCGUGCCUCAUACAGGGGGAUAACAGUUGGAAACGGCUGCUAAUACCGCAUAAGCGCACAGUACCGCAUGGUACGGUGUGAAAAACUCCGGUGGUAUGAGAUGGACCCGCGUCUGAUUAGGUAGUUGGUGGGGUAACGGCCUACCAAGCCGACGAUCAGUAGCCGGCCUGAGAGGGUGACCGGCCACAUUGGGACUGAGACACGGCCCAA
rnacentral:rRNA from 1 species